GGUCAUGCAUACCCCGGAAACCUCUCUACCGCUCUUCAUUUCCAGUUUUUGUUUCUCUCUCUUCUCCCUUCUCACAUCGAUCUAUCUUCCUCCUCCUCAACUCAUUUUUUCUGUUUCUCAAGCGAAUCUUGCACAAAAUAUAAAAAAUAAUUACUAUCAUUCACUUCUUUCUCAAUUUUAAGAAGUUAUCUUCACUCUAUAGUUUCAAAAUUUCAAGAUCUUUGGCCAAGGUAACGAUCUCUCAAUUUUCAAGUUUGAACCGAAGAAAUCUGCAAUUGAAGAUCUGGAGAUCUUGGAAUUUUAGUUAUCAUUUUCGGAUUUUUUUUUUUAUGUAUUGAAUUUUCAUUCAAAUAUGUACUAUGUACAUAAUUUUUGAGGUAUAUGAAAUACAAGAAUUAUUUUUUUA